UCAGUUUUAAUUUCGAUGUAUUCUGUAAUGUAAAUACAAUGAAAUUAAUUGUGUAAAAUGAAAUUUCAAUAAAAUAAAAAAGGAGUCUUCAUGUCCCGUUAUCGAGGACCUCGUUUAAAAAAAAUACGCCGUCUGGGAGCUUUACCAGGACUCACUAGAAAAACACCUAAAUCCGGAAGUAAUCUUAAAAAAAAAAUCAAUUCUGGGAAAAAGGAGCAAUAUCGUAUUCGUCUUCAAGAAAAACAGAAAUUGCGUUUUCAUUAUGGUCUGACAGAACGAUUCUAUUUAAGAAUGGGUAUGCCAUACACCCCGCGGGGAUUGUAGUUCAAUUGGUCAGAGCACCGCCCUGUCAAGGCGGAAGCUGCGGGUUCGAGCCCCGUCAGUCCCGAACUAGGGUUCAAUGAAUGGAGAAAUUUAUAUUUCCUUUUUCCAUGAAAAAAAGGGGCAGGGAGCAAGAUCAAAUACCCACAGGGCACCCUUACUUCACUUUUUUAUUUUGCAUCUCUCAUUAAAGAGGCAGGGAAGGCGUAUAGGAAUUUUUUUCACUACUCCCGAUCGAUAAAGAUAAAGAAAGACACACAUACGAUAUGUGGAUUAGUAGAAUUUAGGAUAUUAUAUUACUCUAUCUUUCUUUAUAUGGAAUAGAGUACCGGUAUUUUACCGGAAUCCAUACAUAAAUCGUAUUCCCUUUUUAGUUCAGACCUCUUUUCCCCAUCUCACUUCUACUGCUUAUUUGGAUGUCUAUGUGACCCAUAGAAAGUUGGUCAUAUAAUACAUACAUAAUUGUAUGUAUAACUAUAAGAAAAAGGAAGGGAAAUUGUAUAAGAUUAAGAAAGUAUAAGAUUAAGAAAGCUCGUGGGUUAGAGAUAUAGAAAAGAAAAAGUAGAAAAGGAUUAAAAAAGAGGGAAUUCCUAAUCCAAUCAAAAAACCCAUUUUGGUCUUAGUGUGGAUAGAGGAUCUUCCUAUGUUAUACUAUAUAACUCUCAUCCGUGAAAUAUAACUCUCAUCCAUGAAUUGAUUUGAUAGAUCCGAUAUUCAUAAUAUUGAAUUGAUUCAGUAUUAUCAGAAUGCAAGCCCCACCCUUGAAUUUACAAGAUACCCCUUUUUAAUUUCUUCAAUGAUUAAUUGGAAUUCCAAUUAAUUAUUUUGGCUGACUGUUUUUACAUAAAUAAUAAGUAAAAAAGAAGUAGGAACUAGAAUGAACAGUGCAGUAGCAAUAAAUGCGAGAAUAUUGACUUCCAUAACCUCUUUAUUUUUUAUUUUCACAAUAACUCGGGAUGUAAUCCCAUGGAGAGGAAAAAGGGGUAUCUUGUAAAUUCAAGGGUGGGGCUUGCAUUCUGAUAAUACUGAAUCAAUUCAAUAUUAUGAAUAUCGGAUCUAUCAAAUCAAUUCAUGGAUGAGAGUUAUAUUUCACGGAUGAGAGUUAUAUAGUAUAACAUAGGAAGAUCCUCUAUCCACACUAAGACCAAAAUGGGUUUUUUGAUUGGAUUAGGAAUUCCCUCUUUUUUAAUCCUUUUCUACUUUUUCUUUUUUAUAUCUCUAACCCACGAGCUUUCUUAAUCUUAUACUUUCUUAAUCUUAUACAAUUUCCCUUCCUUUUUCUUAUAGUUAUACAUACAAUUAUGUAUGUAUUAUAUGACCAACUUUCUAUGGGUCACAUAGACAUCCAAAUAAGCAGUAGAAGUGAGAUGGGGAAAAGAGGUCUGAAAUAAAAAGGGAAUACGAUUUAUGUAUGGAUUCCGGUAAAAUACCGGUACUCUAUUCCAUAUAAAGAAAGAUAGAGUAAUAUAAUAUCCUAAAUUCUACUAAUCCACAUAUCGUAUGUGUGUCUUUCUUUAUCUUUAUCGAUCGGGAGUAGUGAAAAAAAUUCCUAUACGCCUUCCCUGCCUCUUUAAUGAGAGAUGCAAAAUAAAAAAGUGAAGUAAGGGGGCCCUGUGGGUAUUUGAUCUUGCUCCCUGCCCCUUUUUUUCAUGGAAAAAGGAAAUAUAAAUUUCUCCAUUCAUUGAACCCUAGUUCGGGACUGACGGGGCUCGAACCCGCAGCUUCCGCCUUGACAGGGCGGUGCUCUGACCAAUUGAACUACAAUCCCCGCGGGGUGUAUGGCAUACCCAUUCUUAAAUAGAACCAUAAGAAGAUUCGAUUCGUCUUUCGUACUCUAAGAAAUAGACGAAUCAUAUACUACAUACCCACAUAUUAUACGUGGGUAUAGUGAGAGUGACAUAACUAGUAUGUCGUGAUUUUUUAUCACUAAAAAUGGAUAAUAAUCCAGCCUUCAAUAAGAAAAACUCUUUUGUUUGUAAGAAAGGAAUGAGAGAGAUAUGGAUUAGAAAAAAAAUUUCCCUUUUUUCUUUAUCGAUCGGGAGUAGUGAAAAAAAUUCCUAUACGCCUUCCCUGCCUCUUUAAUGAGAGAUGCAAAAUAAAAAAGUGAAGUAAGGGUGCCCUGUGGGUAUUUGAUCUUGCUCCCUGCCCCUUUUUUUCAUGGAAAAAGGAAAUAUAAAUUUCUCCAUUCAUUGAACCCUAGUUCGGGACUGACGGGGCUCGAACCCGCAGCUUCCGCCUUGACAGGGCGGUGCUCUGACCAAUUGAACUACAAUCCCCGCGGGGUGUAUGGCAUACCCAUUCUUAAAUAGAACCAUAAGAAGAUUCGAUUCGUCUUUCGUACUCUAAGAAAUAGACGAAUCAUAUACUACAUACCCACAUAUUAUACGUGGGUAUAGUGAGAGUGACAUAACUAGUAUGUCGUGAUUUUUUAUCACUAAAAAUGGAUAAUAAUCCAGCCUUCAAUAAGAAAAACUCUUUUGUUUUUCUUCCAUUUGUUUUUCUUCCAUAAAAUAAAAUGUCUGAUCUAUAGAAAUAAAAGAUAAAGAAAAAAGGGAAAUUUUUUUUCUAAUCCAUAUCUCUCUCAUUCCUUUCUUACAAACAAAAGAGUUUUUCUUAUUGAAGGCUGGAUUAUUAUCCAUUUUUAGUGAUAAAAAAUCACGACAUACUAGUUAUGUCACUCUCACUAUACCCACGUAUAAUAUGUGGGUAUGUAGUAUAUGAUUCGUCUAUUUCUUAGAGUACGAAAGACGAAUCGAAUCUUCUUAUGGUUCUAUUUAAGAAUGGGUAUGCCAUACACCCCGCGGGGAUUGUAGUUCAAUUGGUCAGAGCACCGCCCUGUCAAGGCGGAAGCUGCGGGUUCGAGCCCCGUCAGUACCGAACUAGGGUUCAAUGAAUGGAGAAAUUUAUAUUUCCUUUUUCCAUGAAAAAAAGGGGCAGGGAGCAAGAUCAAAUACCCACAGGGCACCCUUACUUCACUUUUUUAUUUUGCAUCUCUCAUUAAAGAGGCAGGGAAGGCGUAUAGGAAUUUUUUUCACUACUCCCGAUCGAUAAAGAUAAAGAAAGACACACAUACGAUAUGUGGAUUAGUAGAAUUUAGGAUAUUAUAUUACUCUAUCUUUCUUUAUAUGGAAUAGAGUACCGGUAUUUUACCGGAAUCCAUACAUAAAUCGUAUUCCCUUUUUAUUUCAGACCUCUUUUCCCCAUCUCACUUCUACUGCUUAUUUGGAUGUCUAUGUGACCCAUAGAAAGUUGGUCAUAUAAUACAUACAUAAUUGUAUGUAUAACUAUAAGAAAAAGGAAGGGAAAUUGUAUAAGAUUAAGAAAGUAUAAGAUUAAGAAAGCUCGUGGGUUAGAGAUAUAAAAAAGAAAAAGUAGAAAAGGAUUAAAAAAGAGGGAAUUCCUAAUCCAAUCAAAAAACCCAUUUUGGUCUUAGUGUGGAUAGAGGAUCUUCCUAUGUUAUACUAUAUAACUCUCAUCCGUGAAAUAUAACUCUCAUCCAUGAAUUGAUUUGAUAGAUCCGAUAUUCAUAAUAUUGAAUUGAUUCAGUAUUAUCAGAAUGCAAGCCCCACCCUUGAAUUUACAAGAUACCCCUUUUUCCUCUCCAUGGGAUUACAUCCCGAGUUAUUGUGAAAAUAAAAAAUAAAGAGGUUAUGGAAGUCAAUAUUCUCGCAUUUAUUGCUACUGCACUGUUCAUUCUAGUUCCUACUUCUUUUUUACUUAUUAUUUAUGUAAAAACAGUCAGCCAAAAUAAUUAAUUGGAAUUCCAAUUAAUCAUUGAAGAAAUUAAAAAGGGAUUAAAUAAAAAAAAUCCAAGUCUUAAAUGAAAGGAUCUGGUUGGAAUCUUAAAGUGUGGUAGAAAGAACUACAUAUAGUUUUUUCUACGACACUUUAGAUUCUUUCUAUUAUAUUAUCUUUGAAUCUACAUAGAAUAGAAUAGAUUAGUAGAUUGAAAUAGUUAAGUAGUCUAAUUCAAUUUC
rnacentral:lncRNA from 1 species